GGAUGCGAUCAUACCAGCCACUAAUGCACCGGAUCCCAUCAGAACUUCAGUACUAGGAUGGGUGACCCCCUGGGAAGUCCUCGUGUUGCAUCCC
rnacentral:rRNA from 1 species